CUCUCUCCCGCUCCCUGCUACCAACCAGCAGCACUGACUGAAGCAGCCGGCCGGCCUGCCUGCCUCCACACUCGAUCCAUCGUGUCCCUUGUUAUAGCUGUGAGCGAGCUCAGUGACAGUGGAGGAGGGUGAGCGCUGUCUACCUGCACACUGCCUCCACCUCUGCCUAAUGUUUUGACACUCUGUUGACGUGGGUUUGGAUACGUACACAGCCAGCCAGGGAAGACACCCGGAUUAAUACUCUGGUGGAUGUGGUGAGACGCUCAGCAACACCAAUUGGUCGAUGACCAGAGGCGUACCUUCAGGCCAGGAUGGGAUGCUGCAACUCCAAGAAACUGCCAGAUGAGGACAUCGAGUUCCUCGUGUCCAACACCAACUUUGAGAAGGGUGAAAUUCUCAAGUGGUACAAGGGCUUCAUGGAAGACUGUCCAGAUGGACAGCUGUCAAAGGAGAAGUUCAAGAAUGUCUACGCCAACUUCUUCCCGGGAGGAAAUCCAGAUGCCUUUUGUGAGCAUGUGUUCAGGUCAUUUGACCGUGAUGGAAGUGGGUCAAUAGAAUUCAAGGAGUUUCUAAUGGCGAUCAACAUCACAUCACAAAAAGGAAAAGCAGAGGACAAACUCAACUGGGCCUUUGACAUGUACGACAUUGAUGGUAAUGGAACCAUUGAGAAGAAUGAGAUGGAGAGCAUUAUAGAGGCCAUCUACAGCAUGCUGGGGAGCCAUCUGUCGGAAGAUGUCACAGACUCGCCAACAGUACGGACAGAAAAAAUAUUUGACACAAUGGACGUGAACAAAGAUGGCGUAUUGACAAAGGAGGAGUUUAUUAAAGGUUGUAUGGAGGACACGAUGUUGUACCAGAUGCUGACAGCAGAUGCAGAAGCCUCGAAGGAGUAAUACCACACUCUCAUUCCACAUGCCUCACCAGGAAAAUGGGCCUUAACAUGCAUUUUCAAAUCAAAAGAUAUAUGUAUUGGAUUUAUGCAAGGGAAAUAACUCUGUGCACAGAGAGAGAUGAGUAGGUGAGACAAAGGUCAAGGUCAAGAUCAUUCACAGGAAGUGAUUCUGUAACAACUGAUGUCAUCACUUUUCAAGAAUUAUAAAGAAGCAAACUGAACUCAGCCAAUACAGUUAUUAGCUUACCACUAACACAAAAAGGUAUUCUAAGUAUGUCUUCUAGCAAAAAGUACUUUUGAAUAUAAAACUACCAACAUUGAUCCAGCCAAUGCAGUUUGCAUUCAAUGAACAGUUUUAAGAGAAAUUGAGGGCAAUCAUUUUCGAGCUGUGUACCUUCCUGGUUUUUUUUCUCUGUAUGUAUAUAGAUAUGUGGAGAAAAUGUUUUUGUUACAAAGGUAAAUCUUACCUGAUGCAGAUGGAUUACCCGGAGAAAGAGCCCACAACAAAUUCAUGUAAUACGGACCAACUUCAUAUCACCAUGGCAACUGUUUGUAAGAGCAGGGCCCUGUCUUUGUGGUGGAAUCAUCAUGUUUGUAUGAAGUGUAUGCAUGGUGUCAUGCAUAUUGCAUAUGUCAGUGCUUUCUGUAGUAAGACCAGGCACCUGUAUAUAUGUGUACAGGUGCAGCUGGACAUAUUCUAGAGCAGCUUCUGGUGACCUCAGCCAGAUUGCAGCAGCUAUUAGCAUGACAGUUGCUUUAAAGGGGCUCUCUGAUCAUGGUGUAUCAUAAAGCUCAGCAAUGGAGUAGUUAAUGAAUAAAGUUCAUUGUGCUUGAAACAAGAUUGAAAGAUAUGAAAAUUUUAACAGUGGAAGUGCUUUACUGUCAUUCAAAGAGCCCCUUUAACAUUUUAGAUUUCCCUCCACACAUUCCCAAAACAGCAAGAUUUAUGUUGUUAUCCCCCGUUAAGGUUUGGAUGUGCAUAUACUGACAGAUAGAGCAGGAUAGUGGUUUAGUCGUGUCUUAUUUGAACACACUUUAUCAUGACUGGAAAACCAGAUUAUGUUUUACAAAUCUUUUAAUGUGACAUUACUCUAUCUGCCCUUUGCAAAGAUACCAGUCCUUUAUACAAAGGGAAUGCUCACAUGACGGUGAAUAGAUUUUAUAAACAAACCUUUCCUUACACUUCAUGUAAACCCAAAAGCCAGUAUGAAGUUUCUUGUUCAGAAAAGGUCAUUAUCAAAAUCUGAUCUUGCACUUUCAAGGCCUCUGUUCAUAGAAUCUUUUCGCAUAUUAUACUCACACAUUGACAAAUAUGAAACCAACAAAUAGUUUGCCAUUGCUUACAUACUAGAGUUUGCAUGAAGAUGUCAAACCGGUUUUGUGUUGUAUUUCCCCACCUAGACAGGUUCCUGGUUUAGUUGUACCAGCUCAUGUCAUUCAACUUGUGUCCUUUCCGGAGGAGAUACCACAUCAUUCAUCUUUUUAAUACUUUUGUUUCCAGCCCAAGAGCUGCUGUAUGUUCACAUUUUGCAUAUCUAUGUCAUCUACCCACCAGGAGAAGGAAUAUUCUGCACAUGUUGUGUCCAGAAAACAGAAUGCCAUAUCCUGCCUUCAAGAAGCAGAAUGGCAUGUUGUGUGUUCUGGAGAUGAAAUGGCAUGUUCUGUGUUCUUGAGGUGAACUGCCAUAUUCUGUGUUCUAUGGUUGUAGAGGAUGCUUGUGGAGGGUGAUUAGCCUACUUGUGGCUGGUGGGCAAGGCAGAUGCCACCUCUGAAUGAGUGAUGCCAUCUUGACACUUUGUCAAACCGUUAUCACAUUUCAGCUGAAUAUAUUCAUAUAUAUAUAUUACUUGUACUCUCUGUGGAGUUUAUGUAAGUCUCAAAUGUCUGUCCAUGAUUGUGUUCGCGAAUGUGUGAACACCACACUGACAUGAAGAGUAAACAGUCCACUAUCUCUGACAACAUCGGAAUAUCACACAUGCAUAAGAAACAACUUGCAUUCACUGAACAGACCUGAAAGAUGGGCUUUCUUUUCUUAUCAUCUCAAACUUUUCCAUAUAUUUCAAAAUUUUCGUAACAUAUGAGCCAAUUGGAUUAUGACUGAAGCAAGAAAACAAUGUCUGACGACAAAGGAAGUGAUAAAUUCUUCCACUUGAAUCGUAAUUUGACCAUCUUCCCUGAAGGCUGCUGGACCUUUUACGAAUGCUUCAAAGUUCAUUGAUUCUCUAGAACACUGCACUAUCAAUAUUUUAUAAGUGCUUCAGGGCUGUAAACAUGCCGGCUCAGAAGCUUAUGAACAAGGGUAACUCCAUUCUGUUUGUUACCAGCAUGGCUGGGGACUCUACAUUGUUGCAUAUAGAGGUUGUAUCUCAUGUCCGCUGUUACCACUGCACGCAGCAGGCUUGUUAUCUGAAAUAUAUCACCUCAACACCAGGCAACAAUCAGUCACAAUGACCUACCUAAUCAGAUUCUAUUAGGCAUCAAACACAUAACUGCAGUGUAAAUUUUAAGAAAACUCAAGUAGGAUCUUGUGUUGUUUACUCUUCCAUCUGUUGAGUUUCUUUGACCUGAAACUGAAAACUGAAAAGGAAAGAAGUUAAAACAAUUUUGAGAGAUUGGCUGACAAAUUUAACAUGGCAAAACAAAUACUUAAGUUGCAAUUUAGUGCUUUUAACUUGGCCUCCAUGAUCAUUUGUAAAACACAGAAUCUGUUGCAGGCAUUAGUUACAAUCUAAACGGUAUCAAGUAUUUGUUUAGAAUGGAGCCAGAUAUGUUUCUUUACAAAAAAUUAAAUGAUGCCCUCAUGAUGCAGUAGAAUUAAUUUUUAAUACUGUAUGGUAGUUCCUCUGUGCUAACAAUCUAAAUGAGCAUUUCAUUGUAUCUUGCUUCAAGUUGAAUGUGUGAGUGGUUUGCUUUCCUGAGUCAUGUAAAAAAAAUGUGCCCCCUUCCCCAAGCUGAUGUCAGUAAAGUAAAUUUGAUACUUUCUUGCAAAAUACAGUGAAAUGUUGGUGUAUGGCCUGGUGAAUCUUGAAAUGAAUCAUUCAUUAGUGCACUUGUCAAUGCUGUGUGUGCCAAAGUGUACUGCACCAGCCUGGCAUGGCCAUCAACAAGGUAACAGUAAUGGUGUUCGGGCUGAUUACAUCAACUGUGAAAGGCAAGAACUGUCUAUCUACUUUAUUGAAGGUUCUGCUUCCUAUGUUAGCACACAUCUCUCACCACAUCAAUUACACGCUGCAAAAUCAUCAUCAAACUACUUUAUAAAGCCAUUAGAUAAGUAUGUUGGGUCUUCAUUAAUCAGGAACUAGGGAAAUCUGAAACAAAAUUGAGCUUGGUGUAUCUUGGCAAAGUGUCUUCAUACAUGUUUUCAUACCAAUUAUCCAAAAUACUGUUGUUCAACAUUGGCUAAAGCAUAAUCCCAGUCUGUGAACAAACACCGAGGUCAUGACCUUGGGUUAUGCAGGUAUAUUGAAUUACUCAUUCAUGGGUGAGGUGAUCAUAUAGUUUUCAUGACAUAUCGAUUAACGCACAUUUUGACUGUUGUCAAGCAAAAAGUUACCUCAAUGUAGGUUAAAAACCAGGGAAACAUGAUAUGAUCGGUUGAGAGUAUGUUUGUAAGUACCCUGGGGAAGACGUCACAAUAUCUUCUGUCAGAAGUUGCUAGUGGUUUCCUUGCACUGUGUAUUGUGCUUUUAAGAUAACGUUUCCAGUAUCUUUGAUAUUGUUUUGUGUCUGUGGUUACGUGUCUCACUCAAUUUGUAAUGUGAGAAAUCAGUGGCAGCUUGCAGGGGAGGAUUCUGACAGACAUGAGGACACUGGCAAAAUAUGUGUUUUUUGUGACCCCUUUCUAUAUUAUGUGAUGGAAACUAUAUUAUAUAUAUGAGAGACUGGUUUGUUACCAAGGAUCAUUGGUUGUACCACCAAUUGGGUUGGAGGAAGCUGUUUAUCAAUCACCUUACAGAGAUUGGGAUUUUGCAAGACAUUUGUGAAAUAGGAAAACUAAAUGUUGAAAUUCUGUGAAUAGUUCUUGUAACAUCACAUUGAUGGACACUUCAUUUGGCUGAUUGAAUGUAAUCUUUUGAACUGAGACAAAAUACACAAGUUCACAUUUUGUUUUUAUAGAAAAUACCAGGGUUCCGACCCCAUGACAUAUCAAUGAAAUGGUGAAGAGAUGUCAGCAGCAUUCCUACAAGCUGAUCUACACGCAUCGUUGUACUUGCUGUCGGGACGGAACAUCCUGUCAGUAGACAUCAGUCCAUUGAUUCCCAUAAUACUCUAGACUGACAUGCACUUCAAGACACUCAUUGGGCAAUGAAGCUCCGGUGUGGAGCAUUUAACUGGCUUCAUAUUGCAUGAUUACAGUGUUAAAAGGAUUCACAGCAUUGGUUUGAUGUUAAUGGAAACAGUUUUUGCAGAUAUAUUUGACACAAUGUAAUUAGGUUUCAGAAAAAAAGCAAACUUAUAACACUUCCUGACAAGAGAGUUACCAUGUGUUAAUACUUCCUGAUAACUGUUUAGACUAUGUUAGAGGGAAAAUGUUCUGUUUUUGAAUUAUAUAUCACAUUUGCCAUCAGAACUUCAUAGUUUAUCAUGCACUAGUUAUUUGGGUGAACAUAUUUUUGUUCCUAGAUAUAAACUGUUUCAUGCCUAAUGAUCUUUUUAAGUAGAUGUAUGAACUUUGGCCAUGCAUACACAUCCCAUCUCUGACAGUGUAAAUUCAAUUAUUCUUCGGGAACAUUGGCCAUCUUCAUGUCAGUAUGUGUUGUAUGGAAAUGUGAGAUGUCACAGUUGAACUGUCAACCCAUCUGUGGCUAUACUACCUAGGAAGUUCUUCCCAUCAGUGGCUAUGCCAUGUAGGCAGUUCUUCCCAUCAGUGGCUAUACUACCUAGGCAGUUCUUCCCAUCAGUGGCUAUACUACCUAGGCAGUUCUUCCCAUCAGUGGCUAUGCCAUGUAGGCAGUUCUUCCCAUCAGUGGCUAUGCCAUGUAGGCAGUUCUUCCCAUCAGUGGCUAUGCCAUGUAGGCAGUUCUUCACCCAAGGGGUAAAUGUGUAGGUU
rnacentral:misc_RNA from 1 species